GAUGAACGCUGGCGGCGUGCUUAACACAUGCAAGUCGAACGGGAAUUCUUUUAUUGAAACUUCGGUCGGUUUACUUCAAUUCUAGUGGCGGACGGGUGAGUAACGCGUGGGUAACCUGCCUUAUCCAGGGGGAUAACAGUCAGAAAUGGCUGCUAAUACCGCAUAAGCGCACAGAGCUGCAUGGCACAGUGUGAAAAACUCCGGUGGUAUAAGAUGGACCCGCGUUGGAUUAGCUGGUUGGUGGGGUAACGGCCCACCACGGCGACGAUCCAUAGCCGGCAUGAGAGGGUGAACGGCCACAUUGGGACUGAGACACGGCCCAGACUCCUACGGGAGGCAGCAGUGGGGAAUAUUGCACAAUGGGGGAAACCCUGAUGCAGCGACGCCGCGUGAAGGAAGAAGUAUCUCGGUAUGUAAACUUCUAUCAGCAGGGAAGAUAGUGACGGUACCUGACUAAGAAGCCCCGGCUAACUACGUG
rnacentral:rRNA from 1 species